UAGCCUUCGGAUAUGAUACAUGCAUUUGUUAAUUUAACCAGUCCUUCUUUUUUUCAUAGAACCGUGCCGGAACGCUACGGCCGGCAGGAUACAUUACACAUGAAGGGUUCUUAUUCUUGGCAUUGUUAUUCUACAUUUCUUGACCGUGCUAAUCUCAGAAUGCUUGGAUUUCUUUUGCUUGCUCCCACUGGACACAGUAAGCAGGCUGUGCAUUCACUGAUCAAAAAGAGACAAAUCAGUAAACAUCUUACCUGACUGCAAAACAAAAUGCUGAAAGAACAAACAUGAACCUUUGCUACAGCAGCCUUGGUGUAUCCGUGAGAAGAGCUGGGUUUACGGACACAGGCUGAGGCAUGUUCGCAUGGGUUCAACCGGCAUACAUCUACACAGUCUUUACCAAAGUAUCCUGGAGGCAAGAGUUAAC